rnacentral:rRNA from 1 species
GACAGAGGGUGCAAACGUUGCUCGGAAUUACUGGGCGUAAAGGGCGUGUAGGCGGGAAGGCAAGUCGGGCGUGAAAUCCCCAGGCUCAACCUGGGAACUGCACUCGAAACUGCCUUUCUUGAGUGCCGGAGAGGAAAGCGGAAUUCCUGGUGUAGAGGUGUAAGUUCGUAGAUAUCAGGAGGAACACCAGUGGCGAAGGCGGCGUUUCUGGACGGGUAACUGACGCUGGAGACGCGAAAGCGUGGGGAGCAAACAGG